UACGGAGGAUGCGAGCGUUAUCCGGAUUUAUUGGGUUUAAAGGGUGCGUAGGCGGUCUCUUAAGUCAGCGGUCAAAGCCCGGGGCUCAACCCCGGCCCGCCGUUGAAACUGGCGCGCUGGAGUUGGAGAGAAGUACGCGGAAUUCGUGGUGUAGCGGUGAAAUGCAUAGAUAUCGCGCAGAACCCCGAUUGCGAAGGCAGCCUGCCGGCUCCACACUGACGCUGAGGCACGAAAGCGUGGGUAUCGAA
rnacentral:rRNA from 1 species